ACGCUGGCUGUGUGCCUAAUACAUGCAUGUCGAGCGGAAGUAGCAAUACUUUAGCGGCGAAUGGGUGAGUAACACGUGCUUAAUCUACCUCUUAGAUUGGAAUACCUAAUGGAAACAUUGGUUAAUGCCGGAUACGCAUGGAGUCGCAUGACUCCGUUGUGAAAGGGGCCUUUAAAGCUCCACUAAGAGAUGAGGGUGCGGAACAUUAGCUUGUUGGUGAGGUAACGGCCCACCAAGGCUAUGAUGUUUAGCCGGGUCGAGAGACUGAACGGCCACAUUGGGACUGAGAUACGGCCCAAACUCCUACGGGAGGCAGCAGUAGGGAAUAUUCCACAAUGAGCGAAAGCUUGAUGGAGCGACACAGCGUGCACGAUGAAGGUCUUAUGGAUUGUAAAGUGCUGUUGCAAGGGAAGAAAAAGUAGUUGAGGAAAUGCUUCUACAUUGACGGUACCUUGUUAGAAAGCGAUGGCUAACUAUGUGCCAGCAGCCGCGGUAAUACAUAGGUCGCAAGCGUUAUCCGGAAUUAUUGGGCGUAAAGCGUUCGUAGGCUGUUUAUUAAGUCUGGAGUCAAAUCCCAGGGCUCAACCCUGGCUCGCUUUGGAUACUGGUAAACUAGAGUUGGAUAGAGGUAAGCGGAAUUCCAUGUGAAGCGGUGAAAUGCGUAGAUAUAUGGAAGAACACCAAAGGCGAAGGCAGCUUACUGGGUUUAUACUGACGCUGAGGAACGAAAGCGUGGGGAGCAAACAGGAUUAGAUACCCUGGUAGUCCACGCCGUAAACGAUGAUCAUUAGUCGGCAGAGAACUGUUGACGCAGCUAACGCAUUAAAUGAUCCGCCUGAGUAGUAUGCUCGCAAGAGUAAAACUUAAAGGAAUUGACGGGGACCCGCACAAGCGGUGGAGCAUGU
rnacentral:rRNA from 1 species